rnacentral:rRNA from 1 species
GGGAUGCUCGAGUGGCGAACGGGUGAGUAACACGUGAGUAACCUGCCCUUGACUUUGGGGUAACUUCAGGAAACUGGGGCUAAUACCGGAUAGGAGCUCCUGCUGCAUGGUGGGGGUUGGAAAGUUUCGGCGGUUGGGGAUGGACUCGCGGCUUAUCAGCUUGUUGGUGGGGUAGUGGCCUACCAAGGCUUUGACGGGUAGCCGGCCUGAGAGGGUGACCGGCCACAUUGGGACUGAGAUACGGCCCAG